AGCUUUAGGUAAAUAUCUAAGGUUUGACCUGCCCAAUGUACAGAUUUAAAAAUCAACAAUGAAUGGCCGCGGUACUUUGACCGUGCUAAGGUAGCGUAAUCAGUUGGCUCUUAAUUGGGGUCAGGAAUGAAUGGAGUCACGGGGCUUUACUGUCUUUUUACUAAUAAUUUGAAGUUACUAUGUAAGUGAAAAAGCUUAUAUAUCAAAAAAGGACGAGAAGACCCUUAGAGUUUUACUAAUUUAUAAAUUAUUAUUUAUAUCAGUUUGGUUGGGGUAACCUGGGAUGGCAGAUAAAUCUAUUAAUCUCUCUAACAUUACAUACCGAUUAUAUUAAAAUUGAAUAAACUACCUUAGGGAUAACAGCAUAAUUUUAUAUUGAAGUUUGUGACCUCGAUGUUGGACUAGGAAACUAAAAGGCUAGCCGUCUUUUGGGAAAGUUCUGUUCGAACUAUUAUUCCU
rnacentral:rRNA from 1 species